rnacentral:tRNA from 1 species
UGUUCUGUGGUUUAGUUGGUUAAAGCGCUGGUCUACCGAAUAUGGAGUCGUGAGUUAAAAUCCCACCAGAACGU